rnacentral:rRNA from 1 species
CACGUAGUUAGCCGGGGCUUCUUAGUCAGGUACCGUCAUUAUCUUCCCUGCUGAUAGAGCUUUACAUACCGAAAUACUUCUUCACUCACGCGGCGUCGCUGCAUCAGGGUUUCCCCCAUUGUGCAAUAUUCCCCACUGCUGCCUCCCGUAGGAGUCUGGGCCGUGUCUCAGCCCCAAUGUGGCCGUCCACUCUCUCAAGCCGGCUACUGAUCGUCGCCUUGGUAGGCCGUUACCUUACCAACUAGCUAAUCAGACGCGGGUCCAUCCCAUAGCGAUAAAUCUUUGAAGAAAAAGACAUGCGUCUCUUUCCUGCUAUGCGGUAUUAGCAGCCGUUUCCAGCUGUUGUCCCCCUCUAUGGGGCAGGUUACCCAUGCGUUACUCACCCGUCCGCCACUCAGUCAUCCCAAUUGAUUCCUUUCCCAGCAAGCUGGUCCAUUCAUCGGAAGGAUGCUUCGUUCGACUUGCAUGUGUUAGGCACGCCGCCAGCGUUCA